GCCAGUGUGGCACAGUGGAUUGAGCGUUGGAUGAUGAGUCUGGAGACCUGGGUUCGGUUCCCAACUCAGCCA